UAGUUUUUCUUACGAUGGUCAUGCAUUACGAUAAGAACUUCAAAAUUUCUUGCACAUUUAAAAUCCGGUCUAAGAAUCAGUGUCAAAACCUCAUAUAAACCAUCUUAUUUCACAGAAUGUAAGACAAUGACUAACACAAACAUAUAGGGUUCAAAUGAUUACAGCGGUACGAGCGGAUAAAAUCAUUUACGGCAUAACCACUUUUUAUUUACUUUUCAUAAACUAUAAUCUCUAAUAGUAAAACCAAAAAGAAAGAAAAAAACUAUCGCAGACCAACAACAGAUUGCUUUUACAUACAAUUACGAUUAGUCCGCAACGCUUUGUUGUCCGCCCUAAAAAUAAAGCUGACUAUAUUGCUGACGGAUUUAUCUAUCCCGACCGCCGUCACCUUUGAAACACAUAACCUAUAUUGUCACUUCUACCACUUCUUUUUUAGAUUUCAGUUAGAAUGUUAAUAAAAAUAUAAUAAAAUGUUUGCCAUAGUGG
rnacentral:sRNA from 1 species